rnacentral:rRNA from 1 species
GACGGACGCUGGCGGCGUGCUUAACACAUGCAAGUCGAACGGAAAGGCCCAGCUUGCUGGGUACUCGAGUGGCGAACGGGUGAGUAACACGUGGGUGAUCUGCCCUGCACUCUGGGAUAAGCCUGGGAAACUGGGUCUAAUACCGGAUAUGAUCAACUGUCGCAUGGUGGUUGGUGGCAAGCUUUUGCGGUGUGGGAUGGGCCCGCGGCCUAUCAGCUUGUUGGUGGGGUAAUGGCCUACCAAGGCGACGACGGGUAGCCGACCUGAGAGGGUGAUCGGCCACACUGGGACUGAGACACGGCCCAGACUCCUACGGGAGGCAGCAGUGGGGAAUAUUGCACAAUGGGCGCAAGCCUGAUGCAGCGACGCCGCGUGAGGGAUGACGGCCUUCGGGUUGUAAACCUCUUUCACCAGGGACGAAGCGUGAGUGACGGUACCUGGAGAAGAAGCACCGGCCAACUACGUGCCAGCCGCCGCAGUAA